rnacentral:misc_RNA from 1 species
UUUCCGUAGGUGAACCUGCGGAAGGAUCAUCAUCGUAAAACCGAGGUGCGAGGGCUGUCGCUGACCUUUUCGGUCGUGCACGCCCGAGCGCCCUCACACAAUCCAUCUCACCCCUUGUGCACCACCGCGUGCGUCCCUUUCUGGCUCGUCCGGAGGGGGUCUCGCGUUUUCACACAAACUUGAAGUAGUGUAGAAUGUCCUUUUUUUGAGAUAACACGCAAUCAAUACAACUUUCAACAACGGAUCUCUUGGCUCUC